ensembl:snRNA U6 U6 spliceosomal RNA
GUGCUUGCUUCGGCAGCACAUAUACUAAAAAUUGGAACAAUACAGAGAAGAUUAGCAUGUUCCCUGUGCAAGGAUGACACACAAAUUCAUGAAGCAUUAAAAUAUUUU